GCCAUUUAAGUCACCGCGGAGGAAGAGUAAAAAAAAAGCGUUUGUUUUAUGAUACAGCUGGUACCGGAUGCGCCUCAGAGGUAUCUUUUAACCUUAAAAGACGGGCUGUUUUGCUGCAUAGCUGGAGCCCCAUAGAGGCUAUUACAAACGGGGCCACUCUCUAUUCACCGAGAGAGGGGAGAGCAGCGCUGGUGGAAGAGGCGGGAGGGGGGGAGGGGGGGGGGGGGGGGGUGCUGAGGAGGAGGGCGAGGGAUGAAGGGAGGAAGGAGGGAGUGUGGGAGAGGAGAAACGUGUAAUCACCCAAACAACCAUUUUUACCCAUUUCACCCCCUCUGGAUCUGUGGCGCAAGUGCGCCGCCGGCUUAUGCGCGCCUCCGCUGCGGAUACGCCGACGUGAGGCCGGACCCCGCGGAAGACGCCGAGAGUUUCAGAUGAUGUCCAGUACGCCAGGGCUGCUCCAGCCAAUAAACAAGGGAAACACUCUAAACCAACAUCCUGGGUAUAAAUUUGCAAAACGCAAUACAGGCCUGAUUGUGUGUUGAGUGGAUGUGGAGCGCAUACGAAUAGACCCGGGACCCCUUCCUCCUUCCUCCCUUCGAGCAACACAACUCAUUCCCUUCAACUCCCAUCUCUUCUCAUGCAGCCAAGUGAGUAUUGUAGGAAAAUCUUUUUUUCUCGUUACAGAACUAGAUUUUAAGCUCUUGAAUGCAACCUCACAAGAACUGGGUGCCGCUGAUUUUGCCAAACAUUUACUCAAACCAAAUAAUCACUGCUAGUCAGGUGGAAUCUCACUGAUCAGAAUAAUUCUUUUUUACAGAUAUUGAGAAUUCACACACUUUAUAAUGCACGUUUAAAACCUCUAGGUUGCCCUAACACACGCUUUAGUCUACAAUAUCAGAGAAUGUGAAUGGGAAAGCCGAGAACAAGCAAAGCCUUGGCACUGACACCAGGUCAGCUCCGAGCCCCCGCGCGCAGCCCAGCCCUCAGCACCAGGUGUUCGCUGUAUUCAGAUGAUGCUCUCAUUCAUAGACUCCUCCGACCGGAGUAUUAAAACUCAAAAUUUGCAACUGAAUGCUGAUAUAAUCCUGGAAAUAUAUGUCUCCAUUAAAAAGUAGCCCAUUUAAAGGAACAAGGCGGGCUUUGUGCGAGGCUUUAUGUAUAUUUAUCAAGGCGC
rnacentral:lncRNA from 1 species